rnacentral:tRNA from 1 species
GCCUUCGUGGUGUAGUGGUCAGCACGCUCGACACGAAUUCUAGAUGUCCGUGGUUCGAGUCCCGGCGAGGGCA